rnacentral:rRNA from 1 species
AUUGAACGCUGGCGGCAUGCUUUACACAUGCAAGUCGAACGGUAACAGGCCGCAAGGUGCUGACGAGCGGCGAACGGGUGAGUAAUGCAUCGGAACGUGCCCAGUCGUGGGGGAUAACGCAGCGAAAGCUGCGCUAAUACCGCAUACGAUCUAUGGAUGAAAGCGGGGGACCGUAAGGCCUCGCGCGAUUGGAGCGGCCGAUGUCAGAUUAGGUAGUUGGUGAGGUAAAGGCUCACCAAGCCAACGAUCUGUAGCUGGUCUGAGAGGACGACCAGCCACACUGGGACUGAGACACGGCCCAGACUCCUACGGGAGGCAGCAGUGGGGAAUUUUGGACAAUGGGCGCAAGCCUGAUCCAGCAAUGCCGCGUGCAGGAAGAAGGCCUUCGGGUUGUAAACUGCUUUGUACGGAACGAAACGGUCCGGGUUAAUACCCUGGGCUAAUGACGGUACCGUAAGAAUAAGCACCGGCUAACUACGUGCCAGCAGCCGCAGUAAGAC